CUUGUCUUUGGUGGGAAUGAAAACAUGCAGAUAACCCUGUCUUAAUGCAAAAGGGCACUGCAUUGGUGUGGUCUGCUUUUAAACAACUUUAUUUACACAACUGACUACGGACUGACUUAAAGGUGCUAUUGAUAACAUUGAUAGCAUUCAGCCACUAGAUGUCACAUUCACCCUGCCCCAUUCUAUUGCAUUCACUUCACAACAAGUCGUUUCCAGGCACUAAUCAUCAAUCUCUGCCAUUUAUACGGGUUUUUUUCAACACUAACUGACGACCCAGAGAUACCAAUGUCACAUAAAUUAACACAAUAACAUAAUUACAAAGGCUCGUAGUAGUAAAUUCAUCAAGCUUUAGUUUCCACAGCUUUGGUUUUAGUUCCUCACACUCUUUAAAUAUUUUACAGAAUCACUCACAGCUUACAGUCAGCCGUUUCUAUUCUUAAAACCACUACACCAAGAAAAUCCACCAGAAAAUAUAUGUAUGUAUUCAUUUGAGAUCUGAAUUUAAAACAAAGAAGAAGCUUUACAAAAUGAGCUGCGAGCAGAGGAAGAAGGUGGGGAAGAGGAGGUGUGAUGUAUGGCUCCACCUCUGAUACCAGAUUUCAGUCGGCCUUUAUGCCGUCAUUGCAAAUUUAAGAUGAAAACAACUGUGAAUUUAUUUGUCACUGUUGCACAGACCUUGAUUUAAGUUUCCAGGAUGCCUCCAGCUUUAUACACAUUUGGAUUUUUACUGCUUGUGCUCACACGAAAAGUGGAGAGUGUAACUUUUGAACAGUCCUCUUCUCAAGUAGUGAAGGAAGGGACUGAGGAGCUCAGGAUCGACUGCAGCCAUGAUGACAGCAGCCUUCAGGUGAUGCUGUGGUACCAGCACCAACAGAGCGGUCGGUCUAUGAGCCUCAUCGGGUACAAGUUUCUCCAUAAUUCACCGGACUACGAGGAGCAGUUUCAAAACUCCAGGUUCCAGAUUGGAGGAGGCACAAUGAGAGGAUCUCUGAUCAUUCGCAAAGUGAAUUCAUCCGACUCAGCUGUGUAUUUCUGCGCUGCUAGUACACAGUGAUGUGGUUUAAUACAACUGCUUCACUAAAACCUCCUACCACUUACAACAGCUGCUGCUCAGAGGUUUACUCAUCUGAGAACUGAGAAUAUGAUGCUGUUUAAUGGGGUAUGAUUCAUGUAUUGUAUUGCUAUUUGAUGGGACUUUUGAUUCAUUAUAUAAUAAAGUAACUGAACACUCUGCUAAUGUGAAUGCAUUUACUGCAAAAACACAAAUA